UACUGGCGGGAAACUGCCUGAAUUUGCCCUUAAAACCAGACAUUUUCUGAUCAGACCCCUGGAGAAGGUCCUUGCUUUGCCACCUGGUCUGAUCAGUUAGGGGUCUUUGCGGGGCUCUCACCCCACUCUUGUUUGUUUCUGAACGUACCCUCAUUUUUAAACUCCCCUCCCAUGAACAAGGAAUUUGUGCCUGGAGAUCUCCUGAUUAUUGUAAGCGAAUCGAGUCCUCUCUGCGUCCUCUGAUGCUGAAACUGCUGUUCCUGCUGCUGCUUUGGGGAUUGAGCCCACCACUUUAGGGCAAGUUACACACAUCACAACUCUGAAUCACUGGAAAGGAUGGAGUGGAUGGAUGCUGGGGUGGCUUGUGUUGUUCCUAGCACCAACAUGCCCAUACUCCUGCCUGAAUGGGGACAUUAGUUACCUUGACUCCGUAACAGCCUACAUCUGUAAACAGGUAAUGAAAGCCAAACUUAAUGAAACAGCAACAGAACAUUUCAUCUCAGAUGAAGGAACUACAAUGCCACUAAUAUAUGGAUAUAACAGGCUGCCUGCCACUAAAUAUACAAUUAAAUGUUCCUUUAGUUCUCAGGUUCAUGUAAGUCCAAACCCUGAUUUUGAGACUCAGACACAAAAUGGUUUAUUGAUUGUUUGUUUGUUUGUUUUUAAAGAGACUUAGAAAGCCUGUUUUCAAUACAAAUGUUUUCAUGGUACUUCAGAAUUAAAUGGACAGUUCUUUUAA